AUUCUAUUCAAUAUACUAGAAGCAAAAAAAUAAUAGAGAAAAAGCAAAGAUGGCUAAAGCGACUUCUUCACUUGUUGUCCCCAUCAUCUUCCUUGUGAUGUUUCUUUCAGUUUCGCAGAAUAUGGGGGGACGAACAUGUGUGGCGGUUAUUGGAACGAAUUGCGUGAAUUGCAGAAUCAAGUGCUACAACAAUUAUGGAAAUCUUGCAACUGCCUACUGUGAUCGCUCGGGAGGUAGUCCUCAGUACUAUAGAUGUCAAUGUACCUUUCCUUGCGGGCCUCCAAAGCAUUUGAACCAAAACAAAGUAUUUUAAAAUGAUAUCUUCUUCAAAAUGUAUAAGCAUGAAUCCUAAGUUAAAAUAUCACAAUUUAUAGUUGCUACAGUUAUCAUUAUAUAAUAAUUUUAUUUCAGAUUGGACCCAAAGCUAAAAUUCGUUUUCCUUGGAUGUUAUUGUGGGUGGUUUAUUCAAUCUGAAAUUUAAUUUAAUUUUAUAAAAUAAUAGAUCAUCUAUUAUUUAAACAUAAAA